CAACCAUCAACCAUAGGAUGUUUAAGCCCAUCUCUCCAGAGGUCACCUUGGCUUGUUUACUUGACUGGAGUGGACGCUCAGUGAACAUCUCACCUACCAACGUGUGUUCAGCUCUCAACUCAUUUCCUACUGGAUCCUCAGUCAGUGUGGACCAGACACGUGAAGAAACAGGCCGCCUCCUAUUGGCUCCGCCUGACACAGCCAUGGACGGGAUGGGAUCCUGGAAGCGGGGGCCGGAUGAUUGGGAGGUUUGGCUGAGGUGACAAAGAGCUGAUCGAUCCCCGGCUGCAGGAGGCCGAGCCGGGGGAACAGGCUCCAAAAGCCUGACUGUCACGCACACUGCAUACACAGGUACAUAAAAAACAUAAGGCCCACGCGGAGGGACAAUCCGCUCUGGCCUUCAUUGCGUUAGGCAGACGUAUACUAAACUGGAGAAAAUUGUUGAGUAUGAAAGUUGUCUGAUUAAAUAAUUGAUUCUGAUUCUCACACAGAAUGUUUAAUUAUUUGAUGACUU
ensembl:lncRNA